UUAAGCGACUAAGCGUACACGGUGGAUGCCCUGGCAGUCAGAGGCGAUGAAGGACGUGCUAAUCUGCGAAAAGCGUCGGUAAGGUGAUAUGAACCGUUACAGCCGGCGAUGUCCGAAUGGGGAAACCCAGUGUGAUUCGUCACACUAUCGUUAACUGAAUACAUAGGUUAACGAGGCGAACCGGGGGAACUGAAACAUCUAAGUACCCCGAGGAAAAGAAAUCAACCGAGAUUCCCCCAGUAGCGGCGAGCGAACGGGGAGCAGCCCAGAGUCUGAAUCAGCUUGUGUGUUAGUGGAACGGUCUGGAAAGUCCGACGGUACAGGGUGAUAGUCCCGUACACCAAAAUGCACAGGCUGUGAACUCGAAGAGUAGGGCGGGACACGUGGUAUCCUGUCUGAAUAUGGGGGGACCAUCCUCCAAGGCUAAAUACUCCUGACUGACCGAUAGUGAACCAGUACCGUGAGGGAAAGGCGAAAAGAACCCCGGCGAGGGGAGUGAAAAAGAACCUGAAACCGUGUACGUACAAGCAGUGGGAGCACCUUCGGUGUGACUGCGUACCUUUUGUAUAAUGGGUCAGCGACUUAUAUUCUGUAGCAAGGUUAACCGUAUAGGGGAGCCGCAGGGAAACCGAGUCUUAACUGGGCGUUAAGUUGCAGGGUAUAGACCCGAAACCCGGUGAUCUAGCCAUGGGCAGGUUGAAGGUUGGGUAACACUAACUGGAGGACCGAACCGACUAAUGUUGAAAAAUUAGCGGAUGACUUGUGGCUGGGGGUGAAAGGCCAAUCAAACCGGGAGAUAGCUGGUUCUCCCCGAAAGCUAUUUAGGUAGCGCCUCGUGAACUCAUCUUCGGGGGUAGAGCACUGUUUCGGCUAGGGGGUCAUCCCGACUUACCAACCCGAUGCAAACUACGAAUACCGAAGAAUGUUAUCACGGGAGACACACGGCGGGUGCUAACGUCCGUCGUGAAGAGGGAAACAACCCAGACCGCCAGCUAAGGUCCCAAAGUCAUGGUUAAGUGGGAAACGAUGUGGGAAGGCACAGACAGCCAGGAUGUUGGCUUAGAAGCAGCCAUCAUUUAAAGAAAGCGUAAUAGCUCACUGGUCGAGUCGGCCUGCGCGGAAGAUGUAACGGGGCUAAACCAUGCACCGAAGCUGCGGCAGCGACACUAUGUGUUGUUGGGUAGGGGAGCGUUCUGUAAGCCUGCGAAGGUGUGCUGUGAGGCAUGCUGGAGGUAUCAGAAGUGCGAAUGCUGACAUAAGUAACGAUAAAGCGGGUGAAAAGCCCGCUCGCCGGAAGACCAAGGGUUCCUGUCCAACGUUAAUCGGGGCAGGGUGAGUCGACCCCUAAGGCGAGGCCGAAAGGCGUAGUCGAUGGGAAACAGGUUAAUAUUCCUGUACUUGGUGUUACUGCGAAGGGGGGACGGAGAAGGCUAUGUUAGCCGGGCGACGGUUGUCCCGGUUUAAGCAUGUAGGCUGAUUGUCCAGGCAAAUCCGGAUAAUCAAGGCUGAGGUGUGAUGACGAGGCACUACGGUGCUGAAGUAACAAAUGCCCUGCUUCCAGGAAAAGCCUCUAAGCAUCAGGUAACAUCAAAUCGUACCCCAAACCGACACAGGUGGUCAGGUAGAGAAUACCAAGGCGCUUGAGAGAACUCGGGUGAAGGAACUAGGCAAAAUGGUGCCGUAACUUCGGGAGAAGGCACGCUGGUGUGUAGGUGAAGUCCCUGCGGAUGGAGCUGAGACCAGUCGAAGAUACCAGCUGGCUGCAACUGUUUAUUAAAAACACAGCACUGUGCAAACACGAAAGUGGACGUAUACGGUGUGACGCCUGCCGGUGCCGGAAGGUUAAUUGAUGGGGUUAUCCGUAAGGAGAAGCUCUUGAUCGAAGCCCCGGUAAACGGCGGCCGUAACUAUAACGGUCCUAAGGUAGCGAAAUUCCUUGUCGGGUAAGUUCCGACCUGCACGAAUGGCGUAAUGAUGGCCAGGCUGUCUCCACCCGAGACUCAGUGAAAUUGAACUCGCUGUGAAGAUGCAGUGUACCCGCGGCAAGACGGAAAGACCCCGUGAACCUUUACUAUAGCUUGACACUGAACAUUGAGCCUUGAUGUGUAGGAUAGGUGGGAGGCUUUGAAGCGUGGACGCCAGUCUGCGUGGAGCCAACCUUGAAAUACCACCCUUUAAUGUUUGAUGUUCUAACGUUGGCCCCUUACCGGGGUUGCGGACAGUGUCUGGUGGGUAGUUUGACUGGGGCGGUCUCCUCCCAAAGCGUAACGGAGGAGCACGAAGGUUAGCUAAUCCUGGUCGGACAUCAGGAGGUUAGUGCAAUGGCAUAAGCUAGCUUGACUGCGAGCGUGACGGCGCGAGCAGGUGCGAAAGCAGGUCAUAGUGAUCCGGUGGUUCUGAAUGGAAGGGCCAUCGCUCAACGGAUAAAAGGUACUCCGGGGAUAACAGGCUGAUACCGCCCAAGAGUUCAUAUCGACGGCGGUGUUUGGCACCUCGAUGUCGGCUCAUCACAUCCUGGGGCUGAAGUAGGUCCCAAGGGUAUGGCUGUUCGCCAUUUAAAGUGGUACGCGAGCUGGGUUUAGAACGUCGUGAGACAGUUCGGUCCCUAUCUGCCGUGGGCGCUGGAGAAUUGAGGGGGGCUGCUCCUAGUACGAGAGGACCGGAGUGGACGCAUCACUGGUGUUCGGGUUGUCAUGCCAAUGGCACUGCCCGGUAGCUAAAUGCGGAAGAGAUAAGUGCUGAAAGCAUCUAAGCACGAAACUUGCCCCGAGAUGAGUUCUCCCUGAGACUUUAAGUCUCCUGAAGGAACGUUGAAGACGACGACGUUGAUAGGCCGGGUGUGUAAGCGCAGCGAUGCGUUGAGCUAACCGGUACUAAUGAACCGUGAGGCUUAACCUU
rnacentral:rRNA from 1 species